UACGGAGGGUGCAAACGUUGCUCGGAAUCAUUGGGCGUAAAGCGCACGUAGGCGGUCCCCUAAGUCGGGUGUGAAAGCCCUCGGCUUAACCGAGGAAGUGCAUUCGAAACUGAGGGACUUGAAUACUGGAGAGGAUGGCGGAAUUCCCGGUGUAGAGGUGAAAUUCGUAGAUAUCGGGAGGAACACCAGCGGCGAAGGCGGCCAUCUGGACAGAUAUUGACGCUGAGGUGCGAAAGCGUGGGGAGCAAACAGG
rnacentral:rRNA from 1 species